UACGUAGGUGGCAAGCGUUGUCCGGAAUUAUUGGGCGUAAAGCGCGCGCAGGCGGUCCUUUAAGUCUGAUGUGAAAGCCCACGGCUCAACCGUGGAGGGUCAUUGGAAACUGGGGGACUUGAGUACAGAAGAGAAGAGUGGAAUUCCACGUGUAGCGGUGAAAUGCGUAGAGAUGUGGAGGAACACCAGUGGCGAAGGCGACUCUUUGGUCUGUAACUGACGCUGAGGCGCGAAAGCGUGGGGAGUAAACAGG
rnacentral:rRNA from 1 species